UACGGGGGGGGCAAGCGUUGUUCGGAAUUACUGGGCGUAAAGGGCGCGUAGGCGGUCUUAUAAGUCUCGUGUGAAAUCCCUCGGCUUAACUGAGGAACUGCACGGGAUACUGCAAGACUUGAGAUCGGGAGAGGGAAGCGGAAUUCCGGGUGUAGCGGUGAAAUGCGUAGAUAUCCGGAGGAACACCGGUGGCGAAGGCGGCUUCCUGGACCGAAACUGACGCUGAGGCGCGAAAGCUAGGGGAGCAAACGGG
rnacentral:rRNA from 1 species